GCCAGACUCCUACGGGAGGCAGCAGUGAGGAAUAUUGGUCAAUGGGCGGGAGCCUGAACCAGCCAAGUCGCGUGAGGGAUGACGGCCCUAUGGGUUGUAAACCUCUUUUGCCGGGGAGCAAAGUGCCGCACGUGUGCGGUUUGGAGAGUACCCGGAGAAAAAGCAUCGGCUAACUCCGUGCCAGCAGCCGCGGUAAUACGGAGGAUGCGAGCGUUAUCCGGAUUUAUUGGGUUUAAAGGGUGCGCAGGCGGAAGAUCAAGUCAGCGGUAAAAUUGAGGGGCUCAACCUCUUCGAGCCGUUGAAACUGGUUUUCUUGAGUGAGCGAGAAGUAUGCGGAAUGCGUGGUGUAGCGGUGAAAUGCAUAGAUAUCACGCAGAACUCCGAUUGCGAAGGCAGCAUGCCGGCUCCACACUGACGCUGAGGCACGAAAGCGUGGGUAUCGAACAGGAUUAGAUACCCUUGUA
rnacentral:rRNA from 1 species